rnacentral:lncRNA from 1 species
CCUUUAAUGAGUUCUUGUUUUCCUGACUGCAGCUCUCUUCAUUCUGCCAACCUUUUCCAACUCCAUGAUGAUCCUGCAGGUUUCAGGGGGCCCCUGGACAGUGGCUCUGACAGCAUUACUGAUGGUGCUGCUCAUAUCUGUGGUCCAGAGCAGGGCCACUCCAGGUAAGAGCAGAGCUGCUAUUCCUGGAGGGUCUGGCUCAGGGAACAAUUCCUAGGGGACUUUCUCUUUAUGGAACCAGACUCUGAGACAGCAUGUGGGGCUCCUGCCACGGCCUAGUGUCCUUCUAUCACAGCUGGAGAAUCAAACUCACCUCCUAUAGGAUAGGUUGCUAUCCACCAGGUCUAUUCUCUCUCCAGGAACAUGGACACAGUAAAUAAGGGGAGGUGCUCAGGGGUCAAGUUGCUUGUCUAUGGGGAAAUGGGGCCAAGAGGUUCAGGAUAACCUUGGACAGACAAGGUUUCAGAGAGAGAGGUUGGCAAGUGCAGACUCCUGGGUGUGCUCACAUCUGCAUCCAACCUUGAGGGGACUCAGGCAGAGAGCCCUUAGCUGGUGUGUCCAGACUACAAGUAUCACUGAGGAUUCAGUGCUCACAGAGAAUGCCUCUCAUUCUCCAGGGUGGAGCAGGAGCCAAUGCUCCCUGGACAAUGAAGGCAAGAUGGGAGGGAGGGGGACAGGUUCGAGCCCCUAAAGGCACUCUUGUUGAAGGUAUUUCUCCCAGCCUCCCCAGAACUUGGUUAGAGUAUUAGGAUGGGUUGAAACCUGUCAGAAGAAUGAGAUAAGGAUGUGUGAGUACGUGAAAGAGAUUGAGUGUAGGUUAUCAGACAGCCAAGAAAGCAGUAACCAAGGGAAAAACCUCUGUCUCCUGCUGUCUCCUUGUGGCUGGUGUAAUAUUAUGGCUUCUAUGACCCAUUGUUUUUCUCUCAGGAUGUUCUUACUUUUCUGGUCCAAAUUUACACCAACACCCUGAGAGGAAGGACUGCAGAGUAGGUGUCUUAGUUUUCCACUGACUUCCACCUUUCUGCAUAGACCCUCCCUCUGAGACCCUUCCACAUCCACCUAGGACACCCCUAGAAAGUGCUGUUCUCAUGUCACCUCCUCAUUUUCCAGGGUAACAGUAUUCGAAUCUCCUGAGGACAGCCCCUCAAACCCCAAAGCCCCUCACCUAUUACCUCAGGUUCAUUGUCCGGGAAAGGGUGGACAAACUGCACUUGUAGUCACAGGGGUGCUGAGAACUAACCAGCAGAAUGGCUCAGCCCUGGGAACUGGAGAGGGGUGAGGUUGGGGAGAGAGGAGGCUGGAGCAGCGCUGGUGACACUGAACAGUGUCCAGCAGGAGGUCCAUAGCAACAGUGUCCAUAGGCAGAGUUGUUUGUAGGAUGAGGGGUGGUGUUGGGAAACGCCAUGGAAACCCUCAAGGUGCGGGGUAGCAGAAAGCACAGGAGGGAGCGUGAUGAUGGUGGGCAGUGAACAGGUGGACGGGCAAAGACUGGGUUGAGGUUGGUAGGGGAAAUGAGAUGAGGCAGUGGAGCCAUGUGACAGGAACCGAGGGUGGGUUACCAGAGCUCCCCGUGUAGAAUGAAUGUCCAAUCAAAACCUGCUGGAGGGAGAGCUGGAGCCAUAGGGGAGUGGGUAGAGUGGGCAGGGCCAAUUCCACAAUUCCCUGCAUGCUCUUCCAACUCCACACACAUCUCCAUCCUCAGAGCACAAGAGGAAAGGCACAAGGAGCCAGGCUGUGGCACUCCUGGAGGCAACACCCUUUUGUCUCUGACAAGCUUUAAAAUGGGCUUUUUACAGCUGAGUUUCUUACCUCACCCCACCCACUACCCCAAGCAUUAGGGCCACACUCCCGAGUCCUCCUGUCACACCAGCUGGGCACUUGCAGAAGCUCAUUGUGCAUUUGAGUCUUUGGGUACUCACUCUUCUGUUAAUCUAACUCCUCAAAUAAAAUCCCUAGCACAAAAGAGAGGGGGGAAGAUCCAGUCAGCAAACAGCCAACAAACACUUUUCAACCAUUAAGAUCUGGUGCCCAUGGAAAGUCUUCUUGAGGUUUUCCAGUAGCUCAUAAGCUGAUCCAGUUCCUCUUUCAUAUGCAUUUAUUUAGAAUUUUGCUCCUAUUCAAACAGGUCACACAGUGAAAAGAGGAAGGGAACUAAGAUAGAUUGAGCAGUAACAGAUACAAUACUAUGUAUUUGACAUAUGUGAGCUCAUUUGGUUCUCACAGCAGUUUUGCAAGGUAAAUAGUAUUAUUACUAUUUUGCCUUUCAAGAAAUGGAGAGUUAGAAGGUUGUUUCUUGUCCAAGAUAACUUAGUAAUCAGUCGUAGUGCAAGAACUGGAAUCCCUACCUGUGACAUGUUCCUUUUCUUACCCAUAUGGACUCCAUUAUAUCUUUCUGCAAUUAUAUUUUAAUAUAACCUAUUCUGAGUGAGAGAUGAAUUCACUCAGAUCAUUGGUUUUCAAAUUGUGCUCUGGGUAACUCAAUUGUCAAAGAUUCCGCAAACAGGAUAAAGUUUUCCAUAUACAAAAAAAAAAUGAAGUUUCAAAUUCCACCAUAUACUCAUCACUUAUAUCUGCUUUGCAGGUAAAAUUCCCUUUAAAAAGUUAAAUGUUGCAAAAGAAAGUUUUGAAAUUCUUACUCUUGACUAAAACAUGUUCUCUUAUUGGUGAAUGAGGAAGAGGAACAAAGACUAACAAAUUAAAAUGAGAGGAUACACACUCAGAGUGGGGCACUUGAAUAGGGAGGGGCAGACUAAAGGGGCUGGGGGCGAUGGGCCUGGGUGUUUAGGGGGCUGGAGCCCAAGGCACUAGGAGAAGAGGCGGGUUAAGAUAUCUAAAGUCCUGGGAUCUUGCCUUAGAGAUGACACUGGAAACUACAGGCCGAGUCUACGGUGCCGCUGUGCCCAGCCCCACCCCUUCUCUACUGUCCUCUGCCACCAGCUGUGCAUCUUCUAUGAGGGGUGAGGUUAAUAAACGUGAGUUGCUAAUUUGUAGAACAUGAAACAGGUGUCCAAAACAAACCUUAAUUUGCUGUGUGCAAAUCACAGCACCUUAAUUUCCCCACUGUGACCAGGAACAGAUCAGGUCUGAAGAGGCUCAGACAUGUGCUGGGUCAUUGCUACUUCUGUAUACACAUGCACCUGCCGGACACUGCCCAUGGUGCUCCCUAGGAAGAACUGCAGGUGGAAAAGGCUGCCACAUUUCUUUAUGUAAAAAUGACACCAUCAAUGCCUCUAAACCUAAAGGAGUCCAGUCACUUAGCUUUCUGGUUGUUCUGGUGAUUUUCAUUGAUUAAGAUAUUUUCCAGGUGUUUUGAGAUCAAGUCUUUCUACAGCCAUGUUUGAAAGUGAAAAUUAACUUUCAGGCUAUAUAGUCUUUCUUAUGGCAAACUUCAAGAAGUUUUAAGAAAUGCAUUUCUGGCCAAGUGCGGUGGCUCACGCCUGUAAUCUCAGCACUUUGGGUGGCCGAGGAGGGCAGAUCUCGAGGUCAGGAGUUCGAGACCAGCCUGGCCAACAUGGUGAAACCCCAUCUCUACUAAACAUACAAAAAUUAUCUGGGCGUGGUGGCGCACACCUGUAAUCCCAGCUACUCAGGAGGCUGAGGCAGGAAAACUGCUUGAACCCUGGAGGCGGAGGUUGCAGUGAGCUGAGAUUGCACCACUGGACUCCAGCCUGGGCGACAGAGUGAUACUCUGUAGAAAGAAAGGAAGAAAGGAAGGAAGGAAGGGAGGGAGGGAAGGAUACUCCAUUGAAAGAAGAAAGAAGGAAGGAAGGAAGGGAGGGAGGGAGGGAGGAAUGCAUGGAAAUGCAUUUCUGCAUUUCCAGCAUGCAGAGAUGUCCAGCAUGCAGAACAGCAAGAGCAACUUGAGGUAUUCUCAAGAAACUGGCAGAGAAGAGAGAGAACCUAGCUGUAGAAAGGGAAAGAAGGAAUGGAGGGCUUCCUGGAGGAGGUGGCAUUUGAGCCAGGACUGACAUCAGGAUGGAAAUGUCAGGCAGGGAGUUGGGUAGGGGGAGCAGCUCUGCCCUCCAGGUCCCCAACUCCUCCUAUCCCUACUGUUUCUCUGCCUGAGGGACCCUCCCCCUGAUGAGAUUCUGCUCCUCCCUGAGACGUGAAAUGUCUCCCCCUCCUCCUCCAGCCGCCAGCAGAAAGGGCUGCUUUCCCUUCAGCGUGCGCCCCUCCCUAAUGAUCACUCAGCCACCCUGAGCAGUGAGUCUCAUUCUUUUCAGUAAAUCCUCUCGCUGCGUGGUGAGAAAACUGAUGCCUGGAGUCUGUGACCUGCCUAGGACCACAGAACUCGGUAGUAGGAAAAAUCGUAUU